GCUGAAACACCAAAACGAAAUACAGACAUGUAGCAGUAUGAAAGAUUGAACGAUUAUGAUUAACUAUAACUACAGAAUGAAUGUUUUAAUGCCAGUCUGCUGCGAAUGCAUGAAUUUAAUCUGAGAUAAAUAUACUUUACAUCAGCGUUCUUAAUUGAAACCUCCGAAGUUCAUCGAAGUUUUUAUUCGAGAUAGCUGUUUUGAUUCUGAAACAAGAUGGUUUUACAAUAAAUUUAGGUAAUACCUACGCCUCAUGUUAUUGCGUUAAAGAGAGUCGAUAAAGAUAAUGUGAAAUAUACGUUGCUUAUGAACGGUCACAGUAAUUAGGAAGAUUAUGAAAAUACGAAGGAACGUCUGAAGCUUUCCAUUGAAGAAGUUAUUGACGGAAAACAGACAUUGCUAUAGACGAUUUCAAUGAAACGUCACAAUGACGUCACUUGACGGACAGCUGCAACGUGAUUGGCUAAUGGUGUAGCGACAAUUGUUCGAAAGCGGUUUUGACUACGUUUUUGGCCCUCGAUUAACAUUACGUUAAAUGGGGAAUUUAAAAUCUAUAAAGAAAUUAUGAGAAAGGUUGUAUGAUAUUAGGGUCUUUUUCAACGCAGAAUCCGAAUUUAACAAGCGUUUUCCUCAUUUCUUUAUAGAUUUCAAAUUCCCCAUUUAACGUAAUGCUAAUCGAGGGCCAAAUUUGUUUGUUGAUAAUGAAACCGACCAAUCACAGCACAGCUGUCCGUCAAGUGACGUCACUGUGACGUUUCAUUGAAAUCGUCUAUUGGAUACAUUUAAAAGUAAAACGAACGAAUUCAUCAAUGAAAAGCCACCCGGAUUGAUUUAUAGAAUUAUGCAUAGAUUGCAAAUGUCCACUAAUGAAAUCACGUUGGAAAAUUUCCUUCCUUAUGUGAUAUUCAUUCAUUGUUUCAGUAAUUUAUUUUGUGGCGUAUUUUUCGACGCAUUGGCUUAAAAUCCGAUUUGCUGAAAUGCACUUGAAAUAGUAGGACGUUUUUAGCACUAAUUUGUAAUCAAGAUUUAUAAAUUUUUACUUCAGUUAUUGUUUUAGGUUCGAUGUAUUAUUACUAAGUAUGAAUAACUUGAUUGGACCACUAAAAGAAGAAAAAUACAAGGGAACUCCCGAGUUGAAAAAACGUGUUCCAAAUUGUCGCAAAAAAAUGCGCUAUCACCAGAAGUGUUUUUGAAAAAUGGUAAAUGCAUAACUACAAGUCGCGAGCUUCGUUUGCAUGAGCUGAAAGCUGAAACCUACAACGGUAUGGUGCGAUUACUCAAGCCAGGAUGUCGCACGAUAAUAUUUAUGUUUGAUCAUGUUCGAGCUGAUUUAUUAGUAUCACAGUUUUAUAAAGCUGUGUGGCCACAUCGCAAAAUAAAAAUUUAUUAUUCGGCUAUGCGAAUAUGGAAAAGAAAGCUUCGCUGGAAUGGUAUUCAGAAUUAGUCAAGGCCUGUCUUCCGGAACAGCAAGAAAUUGAAAUAAAUCCAUAUUUUUGUGCUGGAACUGUACUAGCAUUAUCUGGAAUGAGAAAGUAUUUCUGCCUGUAUCAUAUAAAACAUCCAGGCAUUUUUCCUAGUAAAGAAAAAGCAGACAAUUUUGUUACAACAUCUACAAAAUUCGCCACAUGCACAUACACGGACGAAGAGCUAUUAAAAGGUCUACGAGAAUGGCUGAAUAAAUUAUUUAGUGGAUCGGACUGUAUUAUCCGUUAUCGUGUGAAGCAUUGGCCGGAAUUCAAAAUUCUAUAAUUUCGAUAAGCAGAGCAUUUUUGCUGUUUAAAAUGUUCAGUGUGCUGUAUCUGUACCUCUCUUAUUUUUAAAUGUUUUGUUCAUCGUGUAAAUUUUUUUUGUGAGCUAUUUCUUUUUUAUAAUCAUUUGCUAAUGUGUAAAUUGUCAAUUUUAAGACAUCGCUGUAUUUUUGUUGUUAUAGUAUAUAUUUUUACUUUUUUUCCUCUUCGACAUCACGAAUAAGUACCUAGUUUGUUGAUGUUGAAUAAUUAUUACAAUUUCAACGCAAUUCGAACUUUUUAUCCCUAUCAUUAACAGUUUACUAGCUAAUUGCAAUAUCAUCAAGUUGACCAUGAAGAACAAACCUAGUACGAAUUGCUGUGUAGAUAAGGAAAAGUUGCCUUAUAGUGCCAUACCUAGUAGUUUUGACGCUCUAGCUCUGCAAAAAAUAAACGAAAUGUUAUUGAAAAAGAUCCAUCGACAACUUUUGAACGUAUGAGAGCUUUUGCAAAAAGGGAAAAAAAUGUACACUUUCAGCCUUCAGGCAAUGUGUUCUUAUAAGUGCGUACCCAUAUAAAAUGCAUGUAUUUUUCGAAAAAAAUACUUCCAAUCUACAAAAUAAUACAACACUCAGUAUUCGCUGCAUAAUGAAAAAUACUAGGUACCUAACGGUAUUAUUAAUUCUAGUCAAGUCAGCGCGUUAUUUUCAUCAGUUUCAAAUACAUAUACAUCUUUUUUAAAUUAAUUUACUCGUAAUAACGUUUUAAUUAAAACAUUUCAAAUAUCAUUGAA